AACUGCUACAGGUGCUAAAAAAGGAACAGUGUUUUUGCACUUCAUCAGCCUUAAACAAAUGUAAGGAUGCAGAACACAGUAUUUUUUUUAAUGGCAGUAGAAUUCAAUCUCUAUGCGGUUGUUUCCUUUAAGUAAUAUUAAAAGCUGAGAUACAGAAGUAAGUCAGUGCCAGGAAUGAAGUAACGGUUUAGAUAAAAUGGUGCUGACUCGGGUCUUAUUCAUCCCAACAACUUUUAAACCCUCCCUGGGUCUCUCGCAGAGCCUUGCUGACCACUAACAGAGACCAGCUACAGGCAGGGCUCCUCUGCUUUAAAACGAAACACAUGACUCGUGAGCGCGGUGCCAAGUCCGGGAGAGCAGGGAGGGCGGGCCGUCCCCGGGCCCCUGGGCCCCCGGCCCCGGCCCCCGGCCCCCGGCCCCCGCCGGCCCGGAAGGGUGGGUGGUGGGUGGGUCCUCCUAUAAUUAGCCGGGGGAGUGCAUCCCCAGUCCACUUCUUGCUGCCGCUCCGAAGGCACCUCUAGUUCUGCCUGAUCUCCGAGGGUGGCUGGGCCCUUGGUUCUCUCUGAUCACAGUGAGACUGCAGGGGGUGGGCAAGACCCCGAGCAGCUUCCCCCACCGCCAAAGCAGGGCGAGGACCCGCUGCUCUGCCCCUGGGAGGUGCGCUGUCCGAUAUGCUGGGGAUCAUGACAGUCACAGACCCUGAGCACACACCCUCCUCUAAUGAAUGCAUCAGACCUUGAAGGAUGGGAUCAUUGAUUAUUCACACCACAUACUCUUGGCCUUUCUUGACGUCUUUCCUUCACAUCAUGUUAGCAAUAACUUAGUUCAAAAACUAGAAAACAAGUGAUUUGACCCGAUGAUGAUGAAAGAGGUGUCCCCUCCCCACGUGUAUAUCAAUGGCAUGCCAGCAAAAAAAAAAAGAAAAGAAAAGAAAAGCUUUUUGAAUUCGGAAAA